AGGUAUUAUGUGUUUUCAUGUUUGUGAUCUGUUAGUAACAUAUAUAUUUUCUUCCACUUUCUUGCAAUAAUGUGAGUGUAAGUAUCAAUGAUUCCCCCACCCUGUCACUGCCUCCCACACAAUAAAGUUGAACCUCGACAAUACGGGAGAGCAAAAUCCAAUUGCUAGGGAGAGGUAGAAGGACCUGAUCGAGGAAAAUUAUAGGCCAGACCAUUUAGAAGGACUUGGAUUUAUAUGGUCUGUCGUUAAACAUGAUUUGUGAUAUAAACCAUUAUGACAUCAUUUGAUUUAUGUUGCAGAUCUCACCUAGUGGGAAAAGCUUUGAUUGUAGUGAUUUUGUUUUUGUUUAUGGUUUUGAUUUCCUGUUGCUAAUUGUUUUUACAUUCAUCUGAAUAUUUGCAGGUUAUCAAAAGCAUUAAUAAGUGCGACGUAGACAUUCGAAGAGAAUUAUUUAGCAGCAUACUGGUAACACACUUUAUUGGUUCCUUUUAUCUUUGUUCCAUUGUGUAAAUAUAUUCACUCUAGCCAGGCCCUAUGUCACAAGACUAACGUCCAAAUUGAAAGAUAAAAAAUAAUCAUAGUUUUUAUGUGUAUAGUCAUUUUUUUUGUCAUGUAUUUCAUAUAAAUAACAUAUUAUGUUGAAUAAUAAAAAUAAAAAUUCAUUAUUAAGUUACUUACUGAUCUUUACAUUUAUUAAUUUACUUAAUUUAUAUAUGUCAUGUCCGUCAUUUUAAAAAUUCUUAUUUCAUCUAAUCUAAUUAUUUAAUUUUUUAAUAAUUAUUGUUUUUAUUUGUUUAAAAUUAAAAGUAUUAUUUUAUAAUAAGUUUUUUUGGAGAAUUCAUAAAUAGGAUUAGAUUUCUUUAUUGUAAAUUGUUUUUUAAGAAAUAUGUAUUUAAUGUCAAUAAAAUUUAUAAGAAUUGAUAUAUAUAUAUUAAUAUAACAAUUUAUUUAUUAAAAUCAUAAGUUGUUUACCUGCGUCUCGCACGGGUUACACACAGAUGAAAACCAAGGGUAAUAGAUGCAUCAUCCAAGCAUUAUCAUGUGUUUUAAUGCUGGUUACACCUUUACUGGUUUACAAUGGUCUGCUACGAUUACGAGUUGUGUAACGUGGACUCCUGCAUUUGCUAUAAUAAUUGUUUUUCCACUGAACUCCAUUUCCAAUUGGAACAGGGUAACAAGGUUUUUGGAAUUCAACAGGAUAAGGCUAAUGAAAAUUAUCGGAAAUGAGACGCAAGCAGAUAUUUUUUCGGUCCAUUAUCACGGUUUUUAAAUCUCCAAUAUUGUUAUUUCCUUUUUAAUUAGUAUGCUUCCAUUGAAACUACAGAUUUAUUCCAUGAAAACAUGAUAAUUAAAAAUGAAAUAACAAUAUUCGAGUUUCAAAAAGGGUGAUAAUGGACCGAAAGAACUCAUUUUCGAUAAUUUGCAUUACUUUGGUCCAGCCCUUUAGCAAAUGUUUGUUAC
rnacentral:lncRNA from 1 species